rnacentral:rRNA from 1 species
UACGUAGGGGGCAAGCGUUGUCCGGAAUCAUUGGGCGUAAAGGGCGCGUAGGCGGCCCGCCGCGUCCGGGGUGAAAUCCUCCCGCUCAACGGGAGGACGGCCUCGGAUACGGGCGGGCUGGAGGGGGGUAGGGGCACGCGGAACUGUGGGUGGAGCGGUGAAAUGCGUUGAGAUCCACAGGAACUCCGGUGGCGAAGGCGGCGUGCUGGACCCCACCUGACGCUGAGGCGCGAAAGCCAGGGGAGCGAACGGG